rnacentral:miRNA from 1 species
CCAGGUACAAAUGGGGAUCCCCCUAACAGGGUGGAAUUUAUAUAGAUUUGAAUUAAUUACAUCCCGUUAGGGGGAUCCCCAGGUACCUAGG